rnacentral:rRNA from 1 species
GGUUUAGGCAUGCAAGUCGAACGAUCUUUCUCGGGUUCGCCAGGGAUUGAUAGUGGCGCAAGGGUGAGUAAUACGUGGAUAAUUUGUCUUUGAGAUCGGGAUAACAUUUCGAAAGAGAUGCUAAUACCGGAUAAGACCAUAGAGGCUUCGGCCUCAGCGGUAAAAGAUGGCCUCUCAUUAUGAAGCUACCGCUCGAAGAGGAGUCCGCGUUCUAUUAGCUAGUUGGUAGGGUAAUGGCCUACCAAGGCGAUGAUGGAUAGCUGGUCUGAGAGGAUGGUCAGCCACACUGGGACUGAGACACUGCCCAGACUCCUACGGGAGGCUGCAGUCGAGAAUCUUUCGCAAUGGGGGAAACCCUGACGAAGCGACGCCGCGUGAGUGAUGAAGGCCUUCGGGUUGUAAAGCUCUGUCACUUGGGAUGAGGAUUCUUGACACCAAUAAUGUCAAGGGUUGACAGUACCAAGAGAGGAAGCCCCGGCUAACUCCGUGCCAGCAGCCGCGGUAAUACGGAGGGGGCGAGCGUUGUUCGGAUUUAUUGGGUGUAGAGGGUGUGUAGGCGGUCUUGCAAGUCAGGUGUGAAAUCCCUUGGCUUAACCAAGGAAGUGCACUUGAAACUGCAUGACUUGAGUAUAAGAGAGGAGAGUGGAAUUCCCGGUGUAGAGGUGAAAUUCGUAGAUAUCGGGAGGAACACCGGUGGCGAAGGCGACUCUCUGGCUUAAUACUGACGCUGAAACACGAAAGCUAGGGGAGCGAACGGGAUUAGAUACCCCGGUAGUCCUAGCCGUAAACGAUGGGCACUAGGUGUAGGGGGUUUAAACCUUCUGUGCCGUAGCUAACGCAUUAAGUGCCCCACCUGGGGAGUACGGUCGCAAGACUGAAACUCAAAGGAAUUGACGGGGACCCGCACAAACGGUGGAGCAUGUGGUUUAAUUCGACGAUACGCGAGGAACCUUACCAGGGUUUGACAUGUAUCUGAAAGCCUUGAGAAGCCUUGGCCCUCCCUUUGGGACAGAUACACAGGUGUUGCAUGGCUGUCGUCAGCUCGUGCCGUGAGGUGUUGGGUUAAGUCCCGCAACGAGCGCAACCCUCGUUGCCAGUUAAUUUUUC